GGUCACUUUACAAUUCAAUCCGCUAAACACACAAUAGAGGAAAUGGUCUGGAAACAACACAUGUUACACUGUCCUCAAGGCCCUUCAGCAGACCUUGUACUAAUGUGCCAAACAAAGAAGCAUGCAAACCCUAAGGCACCUUCACUAAAAAAAAUUUCCAUUCAACCACCAACUGGAUUUCCACCCUCAAACCACUGAUCAUAGAGCACUGCAGUAA
rnacentral:misc_RNA from 1 species